rnacentral:rRNA from 1 species
AUACGUAGGGUGCGAGCGUUGUCCGGAAUUACUGGGCGUAAAGAGCUCGUAGGUGGUUUGUCGCGUCGUCUGUGAAAUUCCGGGGCUUAACUCCGGGCGUGCAGGCGAUACGGGCAUAACUUGAGUACUGUAGGGGAGACUGGAAUUCCUGGUGUAGCGGUGAAAUGCGCAGAUAUCAGGAGGAACACCGGUGGCGAAGGCGGGUCUCUGGGCAGUAACUGACGCUGAGGAGCGAAAGCAUGGGUAGCGAACAGGAUUAGAUACCCUGGUAGUCCAUGCCGUAAACGGUGGGCGCUAGGUGUAGGGGUCUUCCACGACUUCUGUGCCGUAGCUAACGCAUUAGGCGCCCCGCCUGGGGAGUACGGCCGCAAGGCUAAAACUCAAAUGAAUUGACGGGG